rnacentral:piRNA from 1 species
UGAGUACCACACCUUUAUUUUUAGAAGA